rnacentral:rRNA from 1 species
AUUGAACGCUGGCGGCAGGCUUAACACAUGCAAGUCGAACGAGUGGCGGACGGGUGAGUAAUGCUUGGGCAUCUAGCUGAUGGAGGGGGAUAACUACCGGACACUGUAGCUCAUACCGCGUACCAUAGGCUGAGCCCAAGUGGGAUUAGGUAGUUGGUGAGGUAAAGGCUCACCAAGCCGACGAUCUCUAGCUGGUCUGAGAGGAUGACCAGCCACACUGGGACUGAGACACGGCCCAGACUCCUACGGGAGGCAGCAGUGGGGAAUAUUGCGCAAUGGGGGCAACCUGACGCAGCCAUGCCGCGUGAAUGAAGAAGGCCUUCGGGUUGUAAAGUUCUUUCCGUAGCGAGGCGUUAACUACAGAAGAAGCACCGGCUAACUCCGUGCCAGCAGCCGCGGUAAUUC